rnacentral:miRNA from 1 species
AGGUCGUGCCUGGUGCUUAUUUG